rnacentral:rRNA from 1 species
GACGGCGUACCUUUUGUAUAAUGGGUCAGCGACUUAUAUUCUGUAGCAAGGUUAACCGAAUAGGGGAGCCGUAGGGAAACCGAGUCUUAACUGGGCGAAUAGUUGCAGGGUGUAGACCCGAAACCGGGCGAUCUAUCCAUGAGCAGGUUGAAGGUUGGGUAACACUAACUGGAGGACCGAACCCACUAAUGUUGAAAAA